rnacentral:rRNA from 1 species
UACGUAGGGUGCGAGCGUUGUCCGGAAUUAUUGGGCGUAAAGAGCUCGUAGGCGGUCUGUCGCGUCGAUCGUGAAAACUUGGGGCUUAACUCUGAGCUUGCGGUCGAUACGGGCAUGACUGGAGUUCGGCAGGGGAGACUGGAAUUCCUGGUGUAGCGGUGAAAUGCGCAGAUAUCAGGAGGAACACCGGUGGCGAAGGCGGUUCUCUGGGCAUGAUCUGACGCUGAGGAGCGAAAGUGUGGGGAGCGAACAGG